AGAGAACCUACUGCAACAAGUUUAGUGCAAAUUUUUGUGGAAACAUAAAGAGGGAAAGUUAUGCUCUUUCUUUUCCUUUCUGAUUCACUCUGAAGCUGUAUCCAAUGCCACUCCUUUAUAAAGCCAAGGUCACAGCCAAUUAUUCUACACUCUCGCUUCUUCUCCAUGUCCGUCACCGUCCAAUCGAAUUUCUUCCCACCGGAUUACGUGCCAGAUGAUAUCUUGCUCGCCUAAAACGGCUUUCCC
rnacentral:misc_RNA from 1 species